rnacentral:rRNA from 1 species
UACGUAGGUGGCGAGCGUUACUCGGAAUUACUAGGCGUAAAGCGCGUGUAGGCGGGAGGUUAAGUCUGCUGUUAAAUCUCAUGGCUCAACCAUGAAAUGCCGGCGGAUACUGGCCUUCUUGAAUUCGGUAGAGGAAACUGGAAUUCCGUGUGUAGCGGUGAAAUGCGUAGAGAUACGGAAGAACGCCAAAGGCGAAGGCAGGUUUCUGGGCCGCAAUUGACGCUGAGACGCGAAAGCUAGGGGAG